rnacentral:rRNA from 2 species
GGGUUGUGAGGUUAAGCGACUAAGCGUACACGGUGGAUGCCCUGGCAGUCAGAGGCGAUGAAGGGCGUGCUAAUCUGCGAUAAGCGCCGGUAAGGUGAUAUGAACCGUUAUAACCGGCGAUACCCGAAUGGGGAAACCCAGUGUGACUCGUCACACUAUCAUUAACUGAAUCCAUAGGUUAAUGAGGCGAACCGGGGGAACUGAAACAUCUAAGUACCCCGAGGAAAAGAAAUCAACC